rnacentral:rRNA from 1 species
UGGGGAAUAUUGGACAAUGGGCGCAAGCCUGAUCCAGCCAUGCCGCGUGAGUGAUGAAGGCCCUAGGGUUGUAAAGCUCUUUCACCGGUGAAGAUAAUGACGGUAACCGGAGAAGAAGCCCCGGCUAACUUCGUGCCAGCAGCCGCGGUAAUACGAAGGGGGCUAGCGUUGUUCGGAUUUACUGGGCGUAAAGCGCACGUAGGCGGACUUUUAAGUCAGGGGUGAAAUCCCGGGGCUCAACCCCGGAACUGCCUUUGAUACUGGAAGUCUUGAGUAUGGUAGAGGUGAGUGGAAUUCCGAAUGUAGAGGUGAAAUUCGUAGAUAUUCGGAGGAACACCAGUGGCGAAGGCGGCUCACUGGACCAUUACUGACGCUGAGGUGCGAAAGCGUGGGGAGCAAACAGG